AAGAAUUCUCAGGGCGGGGCGCAAUUCCCCACCGGCGGUAGGUGGGUUCUCCCACAAGCCCGCGAGCGGCCUUUCACGAGGUGUCAGCAGAUCUGGUCAAAUUCCAGAGCCGACGGUCAUAGUCCGGAUGAAAGAGAAUGCGU
rnacentral:ncRNA from 1 species